AAUCCAGCGUGGGACACGUGAAACCACCCUCCAAGGCUAAAUACUACCUAGUGACCGAUAGCGUAUAGUACCGCGAGGGAAAGGUGAAAAGAACCCCGGGAGGGGAGUGAAAUAGAACCUGAAACCCUGCACUUACAAGCUGUGGAAGCACAUUUCUUGUGUGACCGCGUACUUUUUGUAGAACGGGCCAACGAGUUACGU
rnacentral:rRNA from 1 species